UACGUAGGGGGCAAGCGUUGUCCGGAAUCAUUGGGCGUAAAGCGCGUGUAGGCGGUCCGGUAAGUCGGUUGUGAAAGUCCAGGGCUCAACCCUGGGAUGCCGACCGAUACUGUCGGACUAGAGUUCGGAAGAGGCGAGUGGAAUUCCCGGUGUAGCGGUGAAAUGCGCAGAUAUCGGGAGGAACACCAAUGGCGAAGGCAGCUCGCUGGGACGUUACUGACGCUGAGACGCGAAAGCUAGGGGAGCGAACAGG
rnacentral:rRNA from 1 species